GGGGACGUAGCUCAGUUGGGAGAGCGCUGGCUUUGCAAGCCAGAGGUCAGGGUUUCAAAUCCCCUCGUCUCCACCA
rnacentral:tRNA from 1 species